GGGGUAACUUUACUUCAUUUGAUG
rnacentral:siRNA from 1 species